rnacentral:tRNA from 1 species
GGUUCCGUAGCUCAACUGGAUAGAGCAUCUGCCUUCUAAGCAGACGGUUUUGGGUUCGAGUCCCAACGGAAUCACAA